rnacentral:rRNA from 1 species
UACGGGGGGAGCAAGCGUUGUUCGGAUUUACUGGGCGUAAAGGGCGCGUAGGCGGCCAGCACAAGUCCGUUGUGAAAUCUCCGAGCUUAACUCGGAAAGGUCAACUGAUACUGUGCGGCUAGAGUGCGGAAGGGGCAACUGGAAUUCUUGGUGUAGCGGUGAAAUGCGUAGAUAUCAAGAGGAACACCUGCGGCGAAGGCGGGUUGCUGGGCCGACACUGACGCUGAGGCGCGAAAGCCAGGGGAGCGAACGGG